GAAGGGGAGAAGAAAAAAGAAAAAAAAACCUUCCUCGCAUGCAAAGAAAGCAGGGAUGACAGUGCGUGAGAAUGGCUGCUGGGGAAAAAAAGCCAUAGUCACAGGAAAUUACCUUAAUAGAGUGAAAAUUAAGAAACGACCGACAACGCAGUCUGUCUCCAGGAUACGAGCGGGGGAGAGAGAUCCUUAUUACUACUCUGAAUGCAACACGUUGUCUCAAAACCAUCUAUAGAGCUCCAGGCCCAGAGAUGUUCCCCUACCACAGAGGCUUACUGGUGUAACACAAAGCUGCAGCCAGGAAUUUGGCUGCCAGAAGCUUCCCUUUUUCCCCUGGAUGCUAUUGCAUACUUCACAAUUGAAAGCCGUAGCCAGAACCCAGAUGGCUCAAUCCAAGGUUACCCUCUCCACGGAGCUCUGUUGUGUCCUCUUCCUGCAUCCGUGGCCAUUCCAUUGAUUCACUGCAGCCAAGCUCAUUUUUGUUCAUGGACUUACACAAGUGUAUUGUCAUGCAAAUUGGGGAUGGAGGAUGCUGGUGGACACUCAGGAGGAGGAUGGCAUAGGGACAGGAGAGGUGCAGUAUGCACGUUGCAUUAAUCACUUGACUGCAGACUGGGGAACUCAGUCAUCAGCCAGAAAAGGAGCAACACAUUUCAUGUUUAGCCACCUCAUAUGGACACAGAACAAUGAACUUGCUUCACUGGCCAUGUCCUUUCUGUGUGUCAGCCAUGAAAGGAGAUGAAUACUCACCGAGUGUACUGAACACUUGCCCAGAAUGCCUAAAAACUGUGGGAUUGCAAAGGCUGUGCAGUGCUCCAGUCCAUAACUAAUCCAUUGUCAUGUGCUUACACAAUGCAGACACUGCCAGGGAUAAAACUCAAGACUGAGGACCUGGUCCAAAGUCUACUAAAGUCAAUGGUUGGUCUUGCAAGGACUAAAGCAAGAGCCCUCUUUAUGAGCACACUUUAGUGUAAUUGUAAGCAGGAGUAGUAAGUGCACAAAUUCCCUUUGGUCAUGCUAUUUGCAAGAGAAAGAGGCAAUCAUACACUGUCAACUUAUUAUACGUAUUUUUGAGAAGUUGAUGAACAUCAGCAGGCCACACUCACUACAGUUCAAUGGAGCUGACUGCAUAAAAAUCUAAUCCUCUUCCAAUUUAAGUCAGAGGAAGUGCUCUCACUGAUUUCAAAAUGACAAAAUCUUUGGCUCAGUGUGACUACUGAAGGUGACAAAGGUGAGCCUUAACUUAAGUGAACGUGAAGAGAGCGGAAAAGAAUGGGGUGGUGACAAGGGACAGGACAGAGUAAAAGUCAGCUCCUGCAGAAUGGACUUGUGGUGGUUGCACUUGGAUGAGCUUUUCUAAAACACAGAAACAAAAUCUCCAUCCUGCCAAAACAAUGUGAGCUAUGCUAGACCUGUAAAUAGGAAGGCAUUAAAAAUAGGCUCUAAUUGUCUUGAAAUGGCCCUCCUCUAAGCGGUGGCAUUCUUUACCUGUAGCCAAGCAGCGCCUGUAAAAGCCUCAGCUCUUUCCUAUGUUUGCACACAUCAAAGAAAUGACUCCCAGUAUGAUCCUCACAAGCAAAGCAUCCUCAUGAUCAAU
rnacentral:lncRNA from 1 species